rnacentral:rRNA from 1 species
AUCCUAAAGUGUCUAUUUUAGGUGUCCCCUGCCCGGUGCAACGUAAACGGCCGCAGUAUUUUAACUGUGCUAAGGUAGCAAAAUCAAUAGGCUUUUAAUUGAAGUCGAGUAUGAAUGGGGCUAUGGAGGCAAGCUGUAUAAUCACUGUUUCUCAGAACUUAAUAAAGUGGUGAAAAUGCCACUGUUACUAAAAAAGACGAUAAGACCCCGGGAAUUUUCGCAAAUGUGUUUGUUGGGGCAACAGCUAUGUAAACAAAGUAUAAAGUAUUGCUAAGACUAUUUAAUAUUCAUGAAUAAUUACCCCGGGGAUAACAGCAUAAUACAUAUCUGUGUUUAUGACCUCGAUGUUGGACUAAGGAAUUUACAUGCUAGCCGUUUGUAAAUACUGCUCUGUUCGAGCAUCUACCCUU